GGAUUCUAGCUCAGUGGUAGAGCGCUUGCCUAGCAUGCUUGAGGCACUGGGUUCAAUCCCCAGCACCA
rnacentral:tRNA from 1 species